GUGCCAGCAGCCGCGGUAAUACGGAGGGUGCAAGCGUUAUCCGGAUUCAUUGGGUUUAAAGGGUGCGCAGGCGGAUUAUUAAGUUAGUGGUGAAAUCCCGGGGCUCAACCUCGGAACUGCCAUUAAUACUGGUAAUCUGGAAUACGGUUGAAGUGGGCGGAAUGUAGCAUGUAGCGGUGAAAUGCAUAGAGAUGCUACAGAACACCGAUCGCGAAGGCAGCUCACUAAGCCGAUAUUGACGCUCAGGCACGAGAGCGUGGGGAGCGAACAGGAUUAGAUACCCUGGUAGUCCACGCCCUAAACGAUGAGGACUAGACGUUGGGGGGAUAAAACCCUUUAGUGUCGCAGCUAACGCGUGAAGUCCUCCGCCUGGGGAGUACGGCCGCAAGGUUGAAACUUAAAGGAAUUGGCGG
rnacentral:rRNA from 1 species